UGUUUCGGCUAGGGGGCCAUCCCGGCUUACCAACCCGAUGCAAACUGCGAAUACCGGAGAAUGUUAUCACGGGAGACACACGGCGGGUGCUAACGUCCGUCGUGAAGAGGGAAACAACCCAGACCGCCAGCUAAGGUCCCAAAGUCAUGGUUAAGUGGGAAACGAUGUGGGAAGGCCCAGACAGCCAGGAUGUUGGCUUAGAAGCAGCCAUCAUUUAAAGAAAGCGUAAUAGCUCACUGGUCGAGUCGGCCUGCGCGGAAGAUGUAACGGGGCUAAACCAUGCACCGAAGCUGCGGCAGCGACGCUGAUGCGUUGUUGGGUAGGGGAGCGUUCUGUAAGCCUGUGAAGGUGGCCUGUGAGGGUUGCUGGAGGUAUCAGAAGUGCGAAUGCUGACAUAAGUAACGAUAAAGCGGGUGAAAAGCCCGCUCGCCGGAAGACCAAGGGUUCCUGUCCAACGUUAAUCGGGGCAGGGUGAGUCGACCCCUAAGGCGAGGCCGAAAGGCGUAGUCGAUGGGAAA
rnacentral:rRNA from 1 species